rnacentral:rRNA from 1 species
AAACAUGGCUCCCUGUUAUUCUUUUAUACGGAGUCUGACCUGCUCGGUGAAUAUUUUUUAACAGCCGCGGUACUCUGACCGUGCAAAGGUAGCAUAAUCAUUUGCCUUAUAAUUGAAGGCUAGUAUGAAUGGUUUGACGAGAAUUAAGCUGUCUCUUUUCAACUAAAUAUAAUUUUAUUAACAGGUGAAGAAGCCUGUGUGUUAUUGAAAGACAAGAAGACCCUAUCGAGCUUUAAGAAAUUCAAUAGAUUUACUAUAUAUUAAUACAAGUGUAAAACUGUUGAGAACUUUGGUUGGGGCGACUGAGGAACAAAAAAAGCUUCCUUUAUAACUUUAAAACUCACAAGUAUUGAUCCAAUAAAUUUGAUUAAAGGAAUUAGUUACCGUAGGGAUAACAGCAUAAUCUUCUUUGAGAGUUCUUAUCGAAAAGGGGGUUUGUGACCUCGAUGUUGGACCAGAAUACCCAGAAGAUGCAGCCGUCUUCAAUGGUUGGUCUGUUCGACCAUUAAAAUUCUACGUGAUCUGA